rnacentral:rRNA from 1 species
UACGAAGGGUGCAAGCGUUACUCGGAAUUACUGGGCGUAAAGCGUGCGUAGGCGGUUUGUUAAGUCUGUCGUGAAAGCCCUGGGCUCAACCUGGGAAUUGCGAUGGAUACUGGCAGCUAGAGUACGGUAGAGGAUGGUGGAAUUCCCGGUGUAGCGGUGAAAUGCGUAGAGAUCGGGAGGAACACCCGUGGCGAAGGCGGCCAUCUGGACCAGUACUGACGCUGAGGCACGGAAAGCGUGGGGAGCAAACAGGG